rnacentral:misc_RNA from 1 species
GAUGAAGAACGUAGCGAAAUGCGAUAAGCAAUGUGAAUUGCAGAAUUCAGUGAAUCAUCGAAUCUUUGAACGCACAUUGCGCCCGGCAGUACUCUGCCGGGCAUGCCUGUUCGAGCGUCAUUUCAACCCUCAAGCCCUGCUUGGUGUUGGGGUCCCACGGCCGCCGUGGGCCCUGAAAGGAAGUGGCGGGCUCGCUACAACUCCGAGCGUAGUAAUUCAUUAUCUCGCUUAGGGCGUUGGGCGGCGCUCCUGCCGUUAAAGAACCAUCUUUAACUCAAGGUUGACCUCGGAUCAGGUAGGAAUACCCGCUGAACUUAAGCAUAUCAAUAAGCGGAGGA